UGUUAUGCAGUUUUUAGGUAUUACUAUGGAAAACUCUUGCUAUAGGCAUUUUUGUGCACCCUCUUGUGCACGAACAUGACCUGGCAAAUUAAAACGUUGCAUUUUGGUAUGAUACUGAGAGAAUCCUAUCCAGUUUUGAACCAUGCUAAAUGCCCCGUAGCUUAACCCUUCUCUGGGUUUCUUCCUUCUUCAUUUUUUUCUUUCUCUCAGUAUCUUUCUUUCUUUCCUUCCUUAUUCUUCUCGAUUUCUCUCUCUCUCUGCUUUUCUUUUCUUUUCAAGCUACUUUGCAUAUGAACCUAAGUAGAUAUAUCGGAAAUUCGAAUUCCCAAAAUCAAAAACCUUUUCGGGGAUUCUCUCCUAAAGGUCUUUGAAGAUUGGAGUGAUCUUUGUGUGUAGCUCACCCGAGUGAUGAUGGAAUCAAAAUUUCAUAUGCUCUCUUCAAGUACAUCAUCAUUAGUGAUAUCGGCAGGAGUUGGAAAACCAUGUCUUUUGCUACAGCUCAUGCACGAGUCUUGAUCUUAUUUGCAGUCUUAUGGAAUAAAGGUUGGAUAGGGUGGAUUCCCAGGACCAUCAGGAGGCAAAGAUGGCUCUUUUUUUCAGGGUGGAGGCUGUUGCGGCUAAAGUAGUCAUUCAUUAGUAGGAUUCGAGGAGGAGGAGGAGACUGAGCCCAAGGAUGCGGCUCCGCCGGGGUUUUGAGUCG